UGGGGAAUAUUGCACAAUGGAGGGAACUCUGAUGCAGCGACGCCGCGUGAACGAAGAAGGCUUUCGAGUCGUAAAGUUCUUUUAUAUGGGAAGAUAAUGACGGUACCAUAAGAAAAAGCCCCGGCUAACUACGUGCCAGCAGCCGCGGUAAUACGUAGGGGGCUAGCGUUGUCCGGAAUCACUGGGCGUAAAGGGUUCGCAGGCGGGAAAUGCAAGUCAGGUGUAAAAGGCAGUAGCUUAACUACUGUAAGCAUUUGAAACUGCAUAUCUUGAGAAGAGUAGAGGUAAGUGGAAUUUUUAGUGUAGCGGUGAAAUGCGUAGAUAUUAAAAAGAAUACCGGUGGCGAAGGCGACUUACUGGGCUCAUUCUGACGCUGAGGAACGAAAGCGUGGGUAGCAAACAGG
rnacentral:rRNA from 1 species